rnacentral:lncRNA from 1 species
GGCAAGUUACCUUGUUUAAAUAAGAAGAAGUUUUUACUUUUGUGAUGGGGUUUCGGAAAAAAGGCCAGGGAUUAGUUAUGAACCUUGAAGCAAAUUUCAGAAAGAGAAAUUGGUAUAUGGAACACGGCUAUUACAAGUUGAGUUUUUCAUCAGAAAAAAAUAUUUAGUUGUGAAUUUAAACAUAAGUAGAGGAAAAAAUUGAAGGAGGAGGAGG